rnacentral:sRNA from 1 species
CUUUUCCGAUAUUGUAACCUAACAGCGUAGCAACAUGGGUUAGAGCUGUCAGGGCCACUCGGAAAAAAAGCCUUGGCAACUUUGGCGAGCGAUUGCUUUAGCUGUCAUUACUGCGGUAACACACCCCCCCCCCCCUUAAACACAAAACAAAACAUUAUUUACACCUACGUUCGCUAUGUAUGUAGUUACGUAGCAAGGAACAGGUUCAUCAACCGAGCGAUGAAGAACACAGCGUACAGAGCAGCGGAGAGCAAGUGUAGCAACCCAAACUUACACAGACCUACCCUAGUGUAGAACAGCGUUGGAUUUUGUGUUUGUAGGUUCGUUAACCUUUUGCCUUACCUCCAUACACAAUCAUCACGUAUUUUUUAGUGUAAUGGGGUGUAACCAUAGUCGAGAAUUCAUAAAAUGCGCGAGUACAGCAAUGCUUCGUGUGUUUAUUUUCAAUUAAAUUCAUGUUAUUUGAGUCAUUUUGAU